GAUUCAUGAUAACUCCUCGAAUCGCAUGGCCUUGCGCCGGCGAUGGUUCAUUCAAAUUUCUUCCCUAUCAACUUUCGAUGUUUGGGUAUUGGCCAAACAUGGUUGCAACGGGUAACGGAGGGUUAGGGCUCGACCCCGGAGAAGGAGCCUGAGAAACGGCUACUACAUCCAAGGAAGGCAGCAGGCGCGCAAAUUACCCAAUCCCGACUCGGGGAGGUAGUGACAAUAAAUACUGAUACAGGGCUCUUUUGGGUCUUGUAAUUGGAAUGAGUACAAUUUAAAUCCCUUAACGAGGAACAAUUGGAGGGCAAGUCUGGUGCCAGCAGCCGCGGUAAUUCCAGCUCCAAUAGCGUAUAUUAAAGUUGUUGUGGUUAAAAAGCUCGUAGUUGAACCUUGGGCCUGGCUGGCCGGUCCGCCUCACCGCGUGUACUGGUCCGGCCGGGCCUUUCCCUCUGUGGAACCCCAUGCCCUUCACUGGGUGUGGCGGGGAACCAAGACUUUUAC
rnacentral:rRNA from 1 species